rnacentral:rRNA from 1 species
GACAGAGGGUGCAAACGUUGUUCGGAAUUACUGGGCGUAAAGCGCGUGUAGGCGGUCUCGCAAGUCGGGUGUGAAAGCCCAGGGCUCAACCCUGGAAGUGCAUUCGAUACUGCGGGGCUAGAGUCCCGGAGAGGAUGGUGGAACUCUCGGUGUAGAGGUGAAAUUCGUAGAUAUCGAGAAGAACACCGGUGGCGAAGGCGGCCAUCUGGACGGUGACUGACGCUGAGACGCGAAAGCGUGGGGAGCAAACAGG